AACCUGGCUGGCCCAGCUGCGCCCCAAGGCUGCUCCCCACACCCACAGCCCCAGACCCUCACCUAAGGGAACACUGAUCAGGGCUAGUACCAGCCGGGCACGGUGCUUCAAACAUUGUGCUUUUUCUCAUCUGCAACAUGGAAAGAACUGAGGUUUGGGGAGGUGCUGUGGAGUGUGGCCAUAGGUGGCCUGGGCCCAGGACACCACUUGGUAGCAGCCAUGGAGCUACAGGACCGCUUCCCACGUCACCAACUUUGAAAUGACACCCAAGUCUCCUGGGACUACAGGAGGCCAGGCAUUGGUGACUCGAGGCUUUAUCACAAAGACCCCAGCUCAUCCAGGAUGGGGUGACAGAGUGAGCCUCCCUGGGGGGAUACUACCUCCAGGAGUCUGUGGGGCAGCCCACCCCCUUGGCACAGUAAAGAGAGGUGGGCAGGGUGGCAGAGCUGGCCUCCUGGCCCAGAGUUCACCAUCUGACCAGCCUCUCUGGGACACCAAGUCCACUGAGGCCUCCUGUUCUUUCUUUCAGAUGCUGGGAGACGCCAGCCGCCCCCAGGCACUGACAGAGUCUGGGUGGGGUCUGGCCCCCGCCCCUGCCUGGAGCCCAACCAUCCUCACCCCAGGCUCUAAAAAUGCCACCACACUAGCACACACACGUGAGGAAGUGAGAGGUGCAGCCCGAGCCGCCAGCAGCAGCUCAGCGGAGGCUCCGGGGUGAAGCCCACGGAGUGGCCUGGACCCUGGGUGUCUGAAGGGACCCUUGGGAAGGAAGAUUCGGCCCAGCUUCAGAUGGCACCCCAACUGACUGCACCAGUGGCACUCACUGGCUUCCUAGAGGUCCUUCCUGCCACCACCUAGCCAUCUGCGGGAGGCUUGGGAGCUGGCAUCCCUCACCCCAGAGAUGCAAGUUUCCCUACGGAGGAUGGGAGCCAGGCUCCUCUGCUACCUCUGAAAAUGUUCUUGGAAACCUGGAGAGACUUCUGAGGGUCUCGGCAGCAGCCCCCUCAGGGCGGGUCGGGGGACAGGUCUCCUGCUCCUACUCAGGACCAGAUCUCGGGCGCCAGGGGACCUCCGGGGGCCUGAUGAAGCCAGGCAGAGGCCCCACCCAGGAGCCAUGGACACCGCCCCACUGGAGUCCAGGCCCCAGCCAGGGUAUCCAUCCUACCGUAGGCUGCCUGUGCCACCCAGCCAGGGCUGCCACCACCCCAGGCUCAGAAUCGGGGUCCGCACGGGCCAGAUUGCUUGAAGAAAGUCAAGUCAGGAUGGACAUUCUGGCCCUGCCAGGGCCGCUUGCCCUGGGGUCCUGGCUCCUGCCCCUGCCCUCCUUAGUGACCUGGAGGCGGGACUGUCACAGCCAUACCUGGGGCCACACCACAGACUCAGGGUGGGGAGGCUGUCUUUCCAGAUGACUGAGGCCAGCGGGACACAGGCCCCUCCCCCAACUAGGCCACUCUCCCUCCCCUCCCCUCCGCCCCCCUCCCCCUCAGCUUUUCCUUUUCCUCGAAUCAGCUCGGGCUCCAGAAAAACAAACACAUUAACCACUUGAUUGGCCCAGGCUGUGAGCAGAGGCAGACGCAGGCUGCAGAGCCCAGAC